rnacentral:rRNA from 1 species
AGUGAACGCUGGCGGUAGGCCUAACACAUGCAAGUCGAACGGCAGCACAGUAAGAGCUUGCUCUUACGGGUGGCGAGUGGCGGACGGGUGAGGAAUACAUCGGAAUCUACUUUUUCGUGGGGGAUAACGUAGGGAAACUUACGCUAAUACCGCAUACGACCUACGGGUGAAAGCAGGGGAUCUUCGCACCUUGCGCGAUUGAAUGAGCCGAUGUCGGAUUAGCUAGUUGGCGGGGUAAAGGCCCACCAAGGCGACGCUCCGUAGCUGGUCUGAGAGGAUGAUCAGCCACACUGGAACUGAGACACGGUCCAGACUCCUACGGGAGGCAGCAGGGGGGAAUAUUGGACAAUGGGCGCAAGCCUGAUCCAGCCAUACCGCGUGGGUGAAGAAGGCCUUCGGGUUGUAAAGCCCUUUUGUUGGGAAAGAAAAGCAGCAGGUUAAUACCCCGCUGUUCUGACGGUACCCAAAGAAUAAGCACCGGCUAACUUCGU